CAGCAGCCACGGGAAUACGAAGGGGGCUAGCGUUGUUCGGAAUUACUGGGCGUAAAGCGCACGUAGGCGGCUUGGUAAGUUAGAGGUGAAAGCCCGGAGCUCAACUCCGGAAUUGCCUUUAAGACUGCCGAGCUAGUAGGUGAGAGAGGUAAGUGGAAUUCCGAGUGUAGAGGUGAAAUUCGUAGAUAUUCGGAAGAACACCAGUGGCGAAGGCGGCUUACUGGCUCAUUCUAGACGCUGAGGUGCGAAAGCGUGGGGAGCAAACAGGAUUAGAUACCCCAGUAGUCCCUGUCUCUUAUAC
rnacentral:rRNA from 1 species